UACGUAGGGUGCAAGCGUUGUCCGGAAUUAUUGGGCGUAAAGGGCUCGUAGGCGGUUUGUCGCGUCGGGAGUGAAAACUCAGGGCUUAACCCUGAGCCUGCUUCCGAUACGGGCAGACUAGAGGUAUGCAGGGGAGAAUGGAAUUCCUGGUGUAGCGGUGAAAUGCGCAGAUAUCAGGAGGAACACCGGUGGCGAAGGCGGGUCUCUGGGCCGAUACUGACGCUGAGGAGCGAAAGCGUGGGGAGCGAACAGG
rnacentral:rRNA from 1 species